AACGAACGCUGGCGGCAUGCCUAACACAUGCAAGUCGAACGAGCCCUUCGGGUCUUGUGUCGCACGGUUUCGUCACCCGUGGGAACCUUCCCUUAGGUUCGGCCUAACUCUCCGACUGGGGUGCUAAUACCGGAUCAUGUCUUCGGCCCAAUGAUUUUUGGCCUUUGGUUGUGCCCGCGUUGAAUUAGCUGGUUCGUAGGGUAAAAGCCUACCAAGGCGACGAUCCAUAGCUUGUCUGAGAGGAUGCUCAGCGACACUGGGACUGAGACACGGCCGAGACUCCUACGCGAGGCAGCAGAGGGGAAUAGAGGACAAUGGGCGAAAGGCUGAUCCAGCAAGGACGGGUGAGUGAUGAAGGAAUUAGGGUUGUAAAGUGCUAGUAACCGGGAUGAUAAUGACAGUACCGGGAGAAUAAGCCCCGGCUAACUCCGUG
rnacentral:rRNA from 1 species